UACGAAGGGGGCGAGCGUUGUUCGGAUUUACUGGGCGUAAAGGGCGCGCAGGCGGCUUUUCAAGUCAGGCGUGAAAGCCCCGGGCUUAACCUGGGAACUGCGUCUGGGACUGAAGGGCUAGAGUUCGGGAGAGGAGAGUGGAAUUCCCAGUGUAGAGGUGAAAUUCGUAGAUAUUGGGAAGAACACCGGUGGCGAAGGCGGCGAACCUGGUCCGUGACUGACGCUGAGGCGCGAAAGCGUGGGGAGCAAACAGG
rnacentral:rRNA from 1 species